rnacentral:rRNA from 1 species
AUGACCCCAGGUCAGU